AACAACACAAAGUUUGUGCACUUUCCUGAAUUCUUUCCUCUCAAUUCCCUCCAUUCAUUACAGGGAGCGAAAAUGAUGCCAUGGCUGAAUUUGGUGUCCUUGUUAGUGCUCAUUCAAGGAGUUCAAUCUCAAGUACAGUUGGUGGAGUCUGGAGGGGAUGUGAGAAUACCUGGAGGGUCCCUCCGUCUCACCUGCCAAGUCUCUGGAUUCACCUUCAGCAGCUAUUACAUGGGCUGGAUGAGACAGGCUCCAGGGAAAGGCCUGGAAUGGGUGGCCUACAUAGGUACAUCCUCAUCUCCAAUUUACUACCCAGACAAAGUCAAGGGACGCUUCACCAUCUCCAGGGACGAUGCCAAAAGCCAGAUGUAUCUGCAAAUGAACAGUCUCAAACUGGAGGACACAGCUCUCUAUUACUGUGCCAGAAACACAGUGAGAGGAAGUGAAUCUGAUGCCAAGCAAAAACCUCCUCUUCCUCUGAGCAGCUUUCUGAAUCGAAUCCCAGUGAGGGGAAGCUACACCCAACAACACAAACUUUCUGCACUUUCCUGA